CUCAGGACGAACGCUGGCGGCGUGCCUAACACAUGCAAGUCGAACGGACUGAUUCCUUCGGGAAUGAAAGUUAGUGGCGGACGGGUGAGUAACGCGUGAGCAACCUGCCUUUCAGAGGGGAAUAACGUUUGGAAACAGACGCUAAUACCGCAUAACGCAUAGGAGUCGCAUGGCUUUUUAUGCCAAAGGAGCAAUCCGCUGAAAGAUGGGCUCGCGUCCGAUUAGAUAGUUGGUGGGGUAACGGCCUACCAAGUCGACGAUCGGUAGCCGGACUGAGAGGUUGAACGGCCACAUUGGGACUGAGACACGGCCCAGACUCCUACGGGAGGCAGCAGUGGGGGAUAUUGCACAAUGGGCGCAAGCCUGAAUGCAGCAACGCCGCGUGAGGGAUGACGGUUUUCGGAUUGUAAACCUCUGUCUUUGGUGACGAAGAAAUGACGGUAGCCGAGGAGGAAGCCACGGCUAACUACGUGCCAGCCGCCGC
rnacentral:rRNA from 1 species